rnacentral:rRNA from 1 species
UACGUAGGGGGCAAGCGUUGUCCGGAUUUAUUGGGCGUAAAGAGCGUGUAGGCGGUUAGGUAGGUCCGAUGUGAAAACUCGAGGCUCAACCUCGAGACGCCGAUGGAAACCAUCUGACUAGAGUCCGGAAGAGGAGAGUGGAAUUCCUGGUGUAGCGGUGAAAUGCGCAGAUAUCAGGAAGAACACCCGUGGCUAAGGCGGCUCUCUAGUACGUGACUGACGCUGAGACGCGAAAGCGUGGGGAGCGAACAGG